GUCAACACGCUCACAACAGACAUUCUUCACUUUGUGGACUCCCAGGUAACCCAAAAUCUCUUGGAUCUAUCAUUUUUUUUUCUUUUAUUAAUGUCAUUAUAUUAAUUGUUUCAACAUCUUUGUAUUAUGGUUUUUGUGAAUUGUGUUUUCUUGAGUUGUAGGGAAGAAAAAUUUAGGUUUAAUCUUCUAGCAUAGAAGAAAAAACUGUAGAUUAAUUGAUUUUUUAAUCUAAACCAAACACAUGAUCAAGUCCUUAAAAAAAAGUGAAAAACAGGAAAAAAUGAAUGAUUUUUAAUAUGUAUUUGUGUGAGAAUGACAGGUACAAAUUUUUUUUGAGAUUUAUUAUCACAUAAUCUUCAUCCUUUCUAAAAAACGAGAGAGGAAAAAAAAAAGAAUGAUUUUUCUGUUUGUAUCUAAGUGGGAAUGAGAUAUAGAAUUUCGUUGAGAGUAUCCAACCCCAAAAGGACCAAUCCGGGAAGGCAUGUGUGGUAUUGAUGGGAGAUGAUAAGAUGGAAAUCAUAACCAUAGCCAUGUUCUCUCUGUGUCUUUCUAUCCUCUUCAAUUAAUUCAUGGGCAUAGAUAUUUUAUUUAGUUUUUAUAUUUAAUUUAUUUAUAGUUUAUUUAGUUUCUAAAAUCCAAUUAGCUAGAUAUUUUAUUUGAUUUUGUUUUUAUAUUUAAGUAGUUGAGUUUUGGAAAGUUUUUAUAUUUUGUUAAUAGAAAUAGAAAUUUUUAUAUUUUUUAUUAUUAGAAAUUUCUAUUUUGUUAAAUUGUAAGUAUCUAUCUCAAUAAGAGAUUAUUAAUAUUCAAAUGAAAGUGAUGAAAGAGAGUAAAUAUUUUAAUGCUCAAUUAUAUUUUAAUGUUAUUUUUUUUUUUACAUAAGGGUUUAUUUAUGUUUUCAAUUUUGAAGUUCCCUUUCCAAGUCUAGCAACAAAAGUAGUGUCCAACCUUAAAAUGGGCAUGUGUGGUAUUGACGGGAGAUGAUAAGAUGGAAAUCAUAACCAUAACCAUGUUCUCUCUGUGUCUUUCUAUCCUAUUCAAUUAAUUCAUGGGCAUAGAUAUUUUAUUUAGUUUUUAUAUUUAGUUUAUUUAUAGUUUAUUUAGUUUCUAAAAUCCAAUUAGCUAGAUAUUUUAUUUGAUUUUGUUUUUAUAUUUAAGUAGUUGAGUUUUGGAAAGUUUUUAUAUUUUGUUAAUAGAAAUAGAUAUGAGGACUUAAAGGGUUUAUAUUUAAGUAGUGCUUGAGCCAAGGAAAAUGAUAGUCCACUAUCUUGACCCUAUGCAUCACAAACCAUGUGAGGACUUAAAUGACAUCGUAAACAUGUAAGUUCUUCCUAUUAUUUUUCAUAGUAUUAUUUUUAAAUAAAAAAAUACAUUCACCUCAAACACAUUUUUUUAUUAUUUAUAUAUAUUAAAACAUGUAACAUUUACCUAUUUUAAAAAUGUACCCAUUGAACUUAUUUACAUAGGGCUCUUCGAAUAUUUGCAAAGAAAACAUCUAAGAGGGAGCCAUCUUAGCAACUAGUGCAGGUGACAUCCAAAAAUUUUUCUUUACACAUUAGCUUAUGCAUAUGCACCAUUUAUAUAUGUGAGUACUAAUGUUAUUUUAUAAUUGAUCGAUUAGUGUCCAAGACAAGAAGGAGGGUUCGAAUGUGGCUAUUUUGUUAUGAGAUUCAUUAAAGAGAUAAUUUUUUAUCCUACAAUUAUUGCUUCAAAGUUUGGUGAUAAAAAAAAACAUAUUCUCAAGUAGAAUUCGAUGAAAUUAGAGGAGAAUGGGCUACUUUUGUGCUACAACUAAUCAUGAAUCAUGUUGAUGCAUCAUGAUCACCAUGCAUGGUAUACACUCUUGGGAGGGUGAAAUGGAGAAUAAAAAAAAAGAAGAAGGCAACAAGAUUUUGGGUUUUUAAAUGCAACUCUUAUAUCAUAUGUUAUAGGACAUAAACGUUACUUUAAUUGCAACUGAGAAAUUUAGAUUUUUAGAUGGGACUUUUAUGUCAUUUUAUGGUUAGCCGGUUUUAUGCUUAUGAAAUGGAGGUAUACAUGAAUCUUGGGAUCUUUAACAUUUCUGAAUCAUGUUUUGGUAUGUAUUCACUCUUCUUUUUUAGUUUUGAUGGGUUUGA